GAUGUGGCCUGCAACCCAGGCAUGUGCCCUGACUGGGAAUCGAACCAGCUACCCUUUGGUUUGCAGCCUUCGCUCAAUCCAGAGCUACACCAGCUAGGACAGAAAAUUCUAACUUUAAAUUUUACUGGAUUUUUGGGUAUAUUUGUUAACAAGGCUAAUUAAUUUUACUCUCUGGUACCUAAUUAAGGAACCUGUGGCUUUUCAGUCUUUUUUUGGGGGGGGGGGGGGUCUAUGCUAUCAACAGUAGGCCUGCUUUAGACAAUAUUUCUUAGAAUUAGGAAGGCAAUAGAGCCAGUAAAACCACUUUAAAAGUUACAAUGUCAGUUACUUCAAACAUUAAGAGAAGAGUAACUUAAUGUUCUGAGUUACUUUUUGUUAAAGCAGUUUUUUCACCCUGUUAAGUUAUAUAUAUAUACAUGUAUAUAUGAUUUUUUAUUAUGGAUUUUUUCACAUAUUUUUAAAAAGUAGACGCAUAAUAAAAUAAUGAACUUCUCUAUACUUUACCUGAGAAGUACCAUCAAUAUUCUGCAAGUCUUGUUUUAUCUACAGCUCCUUGUCCCCCACCCCUUACUUUUACAGGCUUUUAGGUAAAAUUUGUAUAUGCUCAACUGUACUAAUCUUAGUUAUAUAUAUUUUUUAAAUAAAUGGGUACAACAGUCUAACACAUAUGUUUCAUAAAUUAAAACAUUGUCAUCUUCCCAGAAAGUUCCCUUGUAUUCAUUCCUUGCUGACACUGUGGUAAUUAUUUCACCUUAGUUUUGCCUAAUAUACAUUUUAUUUUGUUCCUCAUUUAUGGGGACUAGAAUAUUUUUAUUCAUGGAUAAAGGAGACCAGGUAUUCAGUUCAAAGGCAUUAUCUGUUUCAGAAUGUAUUACUAUGCUAGGUGCUAUGGGAUGAAGAGGGGAGUAUGUGUGUUGUUACACAAUCAUUAAAAAAAUAUAUGACUUUUUUUUUCCCCCUCGGGGAGUUUACAUACUUGUUAGGGAGAAAGGAUUUAAAUGUAAGUUAGGUAAAAAUGUAAGGUGAUGACAGUGCAGUGUACAGGCAGGUAUUCCAUAAGAGUUCUGAGAAAGGAAAAGAUUAAUGUGUUUGGGAGGAGUUAGGGAAGACUUUAUGAAAGAAGUGAGCUAAGCUUAGAAAAGGAGUAGGAAUGGAUAACUAGAGAUAAAUUGAAUGUUAUAGCAGCCUUUAUCAGCUUUUUGUUGUAUUUUAUAUUAGGAAGUAAAAAAGCUUCGUGGCACCCUUUCAAUCCAUCUUCUGUUUUUUUAAGAAACACAAAUAUCAUGUGAUUUUUUAAAAAAUCUUUCAGCUAUUCUAAAAUACAAAAUUCUUAGCAUGAAAGAAUGGUGUUUAUGAUGUGGCACUUCACUAUUCUGCUUAUCCAGCCACACGGGAUUAACGAUCUCUGAGGACAAGGACCUGAGGACCAGGACGGCAGUCUCUGCCCAGCCCUUGCAGCCUGAUGGUAAUCGCUGUCAUCCCCAGGUCUUGUCCCCACCCUUUGAUGUUUCUUUUCCUUUAAGACUCAGGUCAGUCAACACUUUCUCUUAGGUGUUUUCUACCUUUUCCUGAUUUCCGAACUGUUGUUGUCCUCAGCUCUCAUGAUACUGUAAGCAUUCCUCUACUCUAGAAACUACCACUGUGUAUUGUAUUAGAUAAUUUUCCUGGCUUCUGCCUACACCAGACUCUGAGUUUCUUAAGGGUACAGAUCGAGUCAUUUUGAAAGCCUAGUUUGCAUAUGUCACAGGAUGGAACAAUGAUGAAGGAUAGU